UAUAUUAUAUAUAUAUAUAUAUAUAUAUAUAUAUAUAUACAUAUAUUUAAUAAAUUAAAAAAAAAAAAACACACGGAAUUUUUUGACAAAUCUGUUUGCUAUUCAUACAAAUAUCAUAACUUUAAAUAUAUUUUUUUCUUUAUUUAGUUUUCAAUUUUGUUACAUAUGAUAAUAUUGACAUAUUAACUGACAUUCAUAUAUGUAUAUAUGUAUAUUAUAUACAUCCAUUGUACAUUGUUAUUAUGCAGUUAGUUUCCGCUAUUCAUAUUAUAUACCCCCAACUAUAUACAAUAGCAGCUUCAACCCUAACUACUAUUAUAUUUUAAAUCAGUAUAUAUAUAUAUAUAUAUAUAUUGGAUAGUAUAUAUUUGGACAUAUAAAUAUAAUCAUUGUGUAAAAAAAAAAAAAGGGUACUAAGGAAAACGAAAGGGCAAAAGAGGUAAAAAUUAAAAUAAAAGAACAAAAGUAAAACAACGUCCUUAAAAACUGCUUCAUUAAAAAACUACUUCAUUAAAAACUGCGUCUUAAAAACUGCAAAAAAAAAAAAAAACUGAUAAAAAUUUUUAUUAUACGAAAGUGAAAACAUACCCAAAAACACAGAACAAAAAUAAAAUUUAUAAUAGUUUAACUGAACCUAAAGAAUUAAAAAUGAGUAAAAAGAGUCCCAAAAAAAGCAGUAAUAAGAAAAACCAAAAGGAACAUGCUUCCGAUAAUGAAAAUGUAGUGAAUGAAGCUAUCGAGGGUGGAGAUAUCGAGAGUGGAGAUAUCGAAGGUGGACAUGUCGAGGAUGCAGAUUUGGCUGAUAAUAACAUCGUAAACAAAUCAGGAAGUGAUAAACAAGUGAAUAGUAAAAACAAAAAUUAUAUAGAUCCUAAGGCAUACAAUAAAUUUAAAAAUGAUGGGUCGUUCUUACAGCAGGUGCUAGCAAUGCAAAAGCAAAAAAAAAUAAGAAAAUUAAAAGAGCCAAAUUCAUUUGAUCCAAAAAAAAAAAAAACGAAGUUAGAAGAAGAAAAAGGAAAAGAAGAGAAGGAAGAUGAAAAACAAGAUGAACAAAAAGGAAAAGAUUCUGAAUCUAGUGUAGAAGAUGAAAGAGAGGCAGAAAUAAAAAAUGAAUACAUUGAAAAAAUAAGUAAAAUGAAAGAAGAAGGUUUUUUCACAGAUAAAGGCAUAGGAGCUGGAUUAGUGAAAUAAAAAAAAAAAAAAAUUAAUCG
rnacentral:lncRNA from 1 species